ACCAGACUUCACGUCUUCACAAAGCUCAGUACAGUUGGGGGGGCAGAGUUUGCGUUUGUGUUGAAUGCAUCACUGCCCUACCUACAUGCUACCAAUAUGUAAAAAUGUGCUUCCUCGGCCCAGCUGGGAGUUGAGGCUCUACAUCAUUGUUUUGGUGCUCAUUAAAUGUUCUGAUUGAAUGUGAUCAUGGAGAUCAUACAUACUAUGAUUAUCUCCACAAAGUAUGACUAUGUUACAGUGUCCUUUGGAAAGUGGUAGAGUUUCAGUGGACUCUAGUGACUGAUCCAGAUCAGGCGCUGAGCACUUUACACUUCUGCAAAUCAAGGACACCAGUCAGCUAACAAACUACAAGACAGGGAGCACCAAGCAGGAGCAGGUGUUGCCCCAUGACCUCUUGGACGGUCCCCAAAGAGUCCACAGCUCUGAUGAUCAAGGCUUCAGCCAGCUGCUUAUGGCCAUGGACAGAGACUUGAACUGACCCUCCUUGUCAGCACCACACAAAACAAAGCUCUCAUCUUUCACCGUACUGGAAUUGAAAGGGAAGGCUCGAGGUAAAACAAAGAAGAAGAGGGAAGAGAAGGGGAAAACAGCCAAGGGAAAGGUUGAGCGAGAUGAGCAAAAUGAAGCCCUGGCUGAAAAUGAAGACAGCUCCUCAACUACCACGGAAAUGUCCAACCAUGACGUGGACAGCAGCAUAAGAGAGGUGCUUGUUCACAAAGUGACAAAACCGUGCUGUCUUCUAACCUUCUUACUACAUGUUGUUGAGUCUUUGUCACUGCAUGUGUUUUA
rnacentral:lncRNA from 1 species